GCGUUAUCCGGAUUCAUUGGGCGUAAAGAGCGCGUAGGCGGCUUGUUAAGUCAGAUGUGAAAACCGGGGGCUCAACCCGCGGCCUGCAUCUGAAACUGACAGGCUUGAGUCUGGUAGAGGAAAGUGGAAUUCCUGGUGUAGCGGUGAAAUGCGCAGAUAUCAGGAGGAACACCAGUGGCGAAGGCGGCUUUCUGGACUGAUACUGACACUGAGGCACGAAAGCGUGGGGAGC
rnacentral:rRNA from 1 species